GCCAGAAUGGUGUAGUGGUUUGAGCAUUGGUCUAUGACUCUGGAGACCAGGGUUCAAAUCCCUGCUUGAUCA